AUGCAGGAGAUGGCUAAAGUCACUGCAUUGUUUUGGUAAAAAGAAAAAAAAUGAUUUGGUUUUCCCUUUAACAAGAUAUGUCAAUGUGCAUGUGGGAAAAUAGAUAAAUUAGAGUGUACCAUUUUAGACAGAAAAAUGAUGUUUUUACUUAACAAUUCUAAAUUAGACAGACAAAGCUGAACUGGACUCUGUUGCCAGUGGCUACUGGACUUCUAAUUCAAGAAGGCCUUCUG
rnacentral:misc_RNA from 1 species